GCAUAUGAACAGAAGCGGGUAAAAGAAACCAAAACUCAUCAUGAAGACAUAUUCAUGGAAAGCGCCUGAAACAAUGAAGGUGGACAACACAGCCAUAGACUGGGCCUUUAAUUUGAAUACCUGGAAGGCAAGAAACACUGGUUUAGUGGACAAGAUGAUGAUACUGCCCGCACUUGAGGCUCAGUACUGCCAUCGUGGAAAAUCAGAGAAUGGCAUUAUACCUACCAGUUUAGAAUGGAGCAGGUGACACAAGAGCAAAGCUGUAUUGUAAUGCUGAAGCAUGUAAUGCAAGAAGGUUCUCAGGCUCACUCAUGAACCAUACCGUCCUGUAUCGAUGAAAUCCACAAGGACUGCCCUAAGAACAAAGAUACAGAAUACUGCCACAAAGAUGUUGUAGAUGGUGCGGAAAUGUUGUACUUCCAGAAGCUCACUGAAAAAGAGAAACAAAUAACAGGGUUAAUUCUGAGAGGGUAAGUGCUUGUGUGGGAGAUUCAAUAUUAAAUAAUUGAGUUUGGUCCUGUGGCUCCCUGUGAGCACCUGUGAAUCAAGAUAAUAUAUAUUAAAGAUGAUUGCCUGGAGUUGUAAGGCUGGAACAGCAGAAUCCAACAUCAUAAGAGAAUAUGGUCUGGGAUUGAGAAGUAGAGGGUUUUUUUUUUUUUUUUUUUGGUAAGGCCAGUAGUUCAUUGGAAUUCUUCAGGUAACAAAAGAGAUGGCUGUGUACAUGGGUGUCUCCUAAUAACCAAAAAAGAAUUCAAAUAGACUACAUAAUUGGAAGCCGAAGAUGGUAGUUUUCACUUUGAGGCACCUGCUCCCUGUAGUAGAGAAGGUCAAAGACAUUAUGAAACUAUUAUACCAUAGUAGUUAAACUGGUGGCAAACCGCAUCAGUUCUAUAGUGUUUGUGCAUCCAUACUAUUUUUAUAAAGCAAACUUGUUAAUGCAAACAACUUGUUAAAUGUGUAAAUGUGUGUGUGUGUUUUGUAUCUUAUUUUGUACACCUUGUUGUUUUAUGUACUCAUAUUUAAAAAUAAAAAUAAAUUUAAAAUGUUC